UAAUACUCGAGCCCCGAGUGGUAUCCAUGAUUAAUUGGUCUAAAGCGUCCGUAGCCGGUUCGGUAAGUCCUCAGUGAAAUUUCACGGUAAACCGUGGAGCUUGCUGGGGAUACUGCUGGACUUGGGAUCGGGAGAGGAUAGAGGUACUCCUGGGGGAGGGGUAAAAUCCUAUAAUCCUGGGGGGACCGCCAGUGGCGAAGGCUUCUGUCUAGAACGAGUCCGACGGUGAGGGACGAAACCUAGGGGAGCGAUCGGGAUUAGAUAUUAUUUUCAGGAAUGAAAUUAACGCAAAAUGCAAAUUUCAAUAAUACCUGAAAUAACAAAUACCCCGGUAGUCCUAGGCGUAAACGAUGCCCGUUUGGUGUUGCAAACCUUUCGAGGGUUUGCAGUGCCGGAGCGUAGGUGUUAAACGGGCCACCUGGGGAGUAUGACCGCAAGGUUG
rnacentral:rRNA from 1 species